CAAGUACUCCCUCCGUUCGGAAUUACUUGUCAUCAAAAUGGAUGUGUCUAGAACUAAAAUACAUCUAGAUAUAUCCAUUUCAAUGACAAGUAUUUUCGGACGGAGGGAGUACAAG
rnacentral:pre_miRNA from 1 species